rnacentral:rRNA from 1 species
UACGAGGGGGCUAGCGUUGCUCGGAAUUACUGGGCGUAAAGCGCACGUAGGCGGUCUUUUAAGUCGGUGGUGAAAUCCUGGAGCUCAACUCCAGAACUGCCUUCGAUACUGGAAGACUUGAGUCCGGGAGAGGUGAGUGGAACUGCGAGUGUAGAGGUGAAAUUCGUAGAUAUUCGCAAGAACACCAGUGGCGAAGGCGGCUCACUGGCCCGGUACUGACGCUGAGGUGCGAAAGCGUGGGGAGCAAACAGG